AUUCCGAACUGAGCAAAUUUGAUAUAUUUAACGGUAUCAAUGUUUUAUAUAUUUUGCAUUAUCGAUAUUGGAGUGAGUGUGCGUAUUUGUGUCGCAUCCUUGUCAGAAUCAUCACUUUUUAUUCUAAGAGAUUAAACUAGUUUUUAUUUUUUUCUUAAAAAUUAAAACAGACCUUUACUAUUAAAAGAAAACUAUAAAAAAACGUGUUACAUUGAAUUAAAUGAAAUUAUCUCAUGGAUAAGGCUAUUUUACCAAGUCACUAGGUAGGCCCUUUGAGGCUUGAGCAUAUUCCAUUGGAAUAUUUGGUUUCAUAUUUCCUUCCAAGUCGAAAAAGGAGUAUAUUAUUGGUACAAGAACAAAUAUUCUCUGCGUUACUUUCUUUCUUUACUUCUUCUAUUAACAUUGUCUGUCUUCUGAACUUGCAUUUUCCCAAUGCUCUCCAACCCAACAUCGCUCUUAUCUUAUCUAUCCUGAAACCGAACCAGUAGUUUUAUAUAGCUGGGGAGAAGGGUUAAGGACACAACUUUAUUAUAUGUCAGCAGUAAAUAAUCAACAGAACCAAGAACAUGCGUACUUGUGAAUAGUGGGUGUCCAAGUCAACUUCAGCCCUUUGCUCAGGACUCUUUGCCUUCAAGAAACGGUAAGCAACUGAGAAUGUCCGUCGGUCAAGCUGUAAAAAUUAGAACAAGAACCUCUUAUAAGGACCAGAUGCAGAUUCUAAACUGGUGUAAAGGCUUAUGAUAGUUUAUAGGCGCCAGUCGUACAUGUAUCAGACAGAUCAUAAUUUCAACAGUAUAUAUCUAAUUGCUAAUACAAUCCUGUUAAUUGUGCAUUAAAACUGGAAUAGGUUUAAAGAAUUGCAAUUGCACUUUUUUACUCCCAAUGAAUCGUUUUGUUA